UUUGUGGCUAAUUGGCUAGGUAAAAUGUUUAACUUAUCCCUGUAGGCUUGUGCUAGUGUACGAGGAUCCCUGGUUGCUGCGGACUCAGAGAGCCGAAUGGCCUGUUUCCACGCUGUAUCACUGAAGGGGGAUA